rnacentral:rRNA from 1 species
GAUGAACGCUAGCGGCAGGCCUAAUACAUGCAAGUCGAACGGUGUAGCAAUACACAGUGGCGCACGGGUGCGUAACACGUAUGCAACCUACCUUACAUUGGGGGAUAGCCUUUCGAAAGGGAGAUUAAUACCGCAUAAGACAGUAACUGUGCAUCCAGUAGCUGUUAAAGAUUUAUCGAUGUAAGCUGGGCAUGCAUCCAAUUAGUUAGUUGGCGAGGUAAUGGCUCACCAAGACGAUGAUGGGUAGGGGAACUGAGAGGUCAAUCCCCCACACUGGCACUGAGAUACGGGCCAGACUCCUACGGGAGGCAGCAGUAGGGAAUAUUGGGCAAUGGGCGCAAGCCUGACCCAGCCAUGCCGCGUGCAGGAAGAAGGCGUUAUGCGUUGUAAACUGCUUUUAUACAGGAAGAAACGACCCUUGCGAGGGGCAUUGACGGUACUGUAUGAAUAAGCACCGGCUAACUCCGUGCCAGCCGCCGCCGUAAGAC